rnacentral:rRNA from 1 species
AUUGAACGCUGGCGGCAGGCCUAACACAUGCAAGUCGAACGAGUGGCGGACGGGUGAGUAAUGUCUGGGAAACUGCCCGAUGGAGGGGGAUAACUACUGGAAACGGUAGCUAAUACCGCAUACCAUCGGAUUUGCCCAGAUGGGAUUAGCUUGUCGGUGAGGUAACGGCUAACCUAGGCGACGAUCCCUAGCUGGCCUGGGAGGAUGACCGGCCACACUGGAACGGAGACACGGUCCAGACUCCUACGGGAGGCAGCAGUGGGGAAUAUUGCACAAUGGGCGAAAGCCUGACGCAGCCAUGCCGCGUGUAUGAAGAAGGCCUUCGGGUUGUAAAGCACUUUCAGCGGGGAGGCGUUACCCGAAGAAGAAGCACCGGCUAACUCCGUGCCAGCAGCCGCGGUAAUUC